rnacentral:rRNA from 1 species
GACAGAGGAGGCGAGCGUUAUCCGGAGUCAUUGGGCGUAAAGGGUACGUAGGCGGCUAGUCAAGUCUGAGGUUAAAGACCACAGCUUAACUGUGGGAAGGCCUUGGAAACUGACUGGCUAGAGUGGGGCAGGGGUUGCGGGAAUUCCCGGUGUAGCGGUGAAAUGCGUAGAUAUCGGGAAGAACACCUGAGGCGAAAGCGCGCAACUGGGCCCUAACUGACGCUGAGGUACGAAAGCUAGGGGAGCGAAUGGGAUUAGAUACCCCAGUAGUCCUAGCCGUAAACGAUGGACACUAGACGUUGGCCGACCAACCCGGUCAGUGUCGUAGCUAACGCGUUAAGUGUCCCGCCUGGGGAGUACGCACGCAAGUGUGAAACUCAAAUGAAUUGACGGGGACCCGCACAAGCGGUGGAGCAUGUGGAUUAAUUCGAUACAAACCGAAGAACCUUACCCAGGCUUGACAUCUAGGGAAUCCCAACGAAAGUUGGGAGUCCCCACAGGGACCCGAAGACACCUGUUGCAUGGCUGUCGUCAGCUCGUGCCGUGAGGUGUUUGGUUAAGUCCAGCAACGAGCGCAACCCUCAUCCCGUGUUACCAUCGGGUCAUGCCGGGGACUCACGGGAAACCGCUCCGGUAACGGAGAGGAAGGUGGGGACGACGUCAAGUCAGCAUGGCGGUUACGCCUGGGGCUUCACACAUGCUACAAUGGGCGCAACAAAGGGUUGCAAAACCGCGAGGUGGAGCUAAUCCCAAAAAUACGCCCUCAGUUCAGAUCGCAGUCUGCAAUUCGACUGCGUGAAGCCGGAAUCGCUAGUA